rnacentral:rRNA from 1 species
AACGUAGGUGGCGAGCGUUAUCCGGAUUUACUGGGCGUAAAGCGUGUGCAGGUGGGUAGUUAAGUGGUGUAUGAAAUCGCCCGGCUUAACCGGGCGGGGUUAUGCCAGACUGGCUACCUGGAGCGUGGGAGAGGGAGGUGGAAUUCCGGGUGUAGUGGUGAAAUGCGUAGAGAUCCGGAGGAACCCCAGAGGCGAAGGCGGCCUCCUGGCCCACGACUGACACUCAGACACGACAGCAUGGGGAGCGAACGGG